GGUACCAGGGGCCUCGGGCAAAGUCCCAAUCCGGCCCGCCUGGCCACCCGUUUGCCUGCGUCGCCCACAGACUUGCAGUCAGAAACUUCCUCGGAGGAAUGCAGCCUGGGAAGACCGAGCGUCGGAGGGCUUGGAGCGCCGUGGCAGCUGGAUAGUAUUCGGGCCCAUCCGAAUAAGCGAGUCCAGUGUCUCCGGCAGCAGGAGCUUGGCAGGAUCUUGGAUGGCCAUCUUUCUCCUGAUGCUGAUACGAUGGAUCCUGGGAUAAAAGCCUGCCCAGAUACCAUCCCCACCCCUAAUCCUUGCUCUCUGGUUACUUGCCUGAGGCAAGGGUGGAGUGGAAGACAAGUUAGGGAGAGUCAAGUAGUCUGUUCUCUUGUUAGGGACCACAGAGAUUGGGGGUGAAGAUGGAACCGAUGUAUGGCCCAACUCUUGGUGGUGAGUGUGGCUACUAAGCACUGGGUUGCGUUUUCCCAUCCCACCUUCUCUUCUCAUCUCUUAAACUCUUCCAGAGGGGGAUUGGGUUGUUCAGUAUGCUACGGGGUGGUGCAGAGGGUAUGGCCAAUAAACAGCAGGGAAUUCGA